AAGACUUUACUUUCAGGGAUCAUUUCUGUAGUUCAUUACUAGAGAAGAUUCUCUGCAUGUGUAGAGCACCCGAAACCACCAUGAGGAGAUGGAAUGUUCUCUCCUGAGCAUGAAGCUGGCUCUUGGUGUUGCUUUGGUAACUGCCAUUUGCCAUCAAUGGUCAUUCUUCUCUCUCCUUGGAGAGAGUAAGAGGGACAGAACACUGUCUGAGUGGG